UACGGAGGGCGCAAGCGUUGUUCGGAAUUACUGGGCGUAAAGCGCGUGUAUGCGGCCAGGUAAGUCGGAUGUGAAAGCCCGGGGCCCAACCCCGGAACUGCACCCGAUACUGCCUGGCUGGAGUCCCGGAGAGGAUGGCGGAAUUUCCGGUGUAGAGGUGAAAUUCGUAGAUAUCGGAAGGAACACCAGUGGCGAAGGCGGCCAUCUGGACGGUGACUGACGCUGAGACGCGAAAGCGUGGGGAGCAAACACG
rnacentral:rRNA from 1 species